rnacentral:rRNA from 1 species
AUGUGGCCGAUCCCUCCCGGCAACCCAGGCCCUACCUCCAGCGACCGCGACUUUCUCGGCUACAUCUUCCUCAAUGGCUCCGCCUCCUGGCUCCCCAACCUGCGGGCGCCCUACCAGUUCCGCCUCUUUCGUUGUACUGCCAAAGAGGCCGACGAGAUGCGGGUGAUGUUCAUGUGCACAUACGCCGGAAAGAGGGCCGUGAGGUAUGGGCUUGAGAAGGAGGAGGAGAAGGGAUGGACGGAGGUGGGCACAGAGGUGAGGACAUAUGAGCAGAAGCACAUGUGCGACGCACCGGCGAAUGACAGCGUAGGGUGGAGGGAUCCGGGCUUCGUCUUUGAUGGCCUCAUGAAUGGGUUGGAUCCCGGAAGGAGGUACUUUUACAAGAUUGUUCUUCCAGUACCUUGCCCAGCAGAGGAGUCGGCCGUUAUCCUGAGCGGCGCGCUGUUCUCGAUGUUGUCAGGUGACUUUCUGGAGUUGGACGACGAGCAGUGGUUUGGCGGCAUGGUUGCCGGGUUGUACUAUGAGAGCUUGGCGCAGGGGAUGCUCAUCGAGCCGCCGGACUCUGGAGCGUGGCAAGAGGAUAGGGAGCACAGCGGCAUGGCGGAGACGCAGAUGCUGUGUGGAGUUAAUCGUUCACCUAAGUAG